rnacentral:rRNA from 1 species
GACGAACCGUGCGAACGUUAUUCGGAAUCACUGGGCUUAAAGCGCGUGUAGGCGGGCCGCCACGUCGAGGGCUGAAAUCCCCCGGCUCAACCGGGGAACGGGCAUCGAUACGAGCGGCCUGGAGGGAGGUAGGGGGGGCUGGAACUUCCGGUGGAGCGGUGAAAUGCGUUGAGAUCGGAAGGAACGCCCGUGGCGAAAGCGAGCCCCUGGACCUUUACUGACGCUGAGACGCGAAAGCUAGGGGAGCGAACGG